rnacentral:rRNA from 1 species
AUUGAACGCUGGCGGCAUGCUUUACACAUGCGAGUCGAACGGCAGCGCGGGCUUCGGCCUGGCGGCGAGUGGCGAACGGGUGAGUAAUGCAUCGGAACGUGCCCAGUAGUGGGGGAUAGCCCAGCGAAAGCCGGAUUAAUACCGCAUACGACCUGAGGGUGAAAGCGGGGGACCGAAAGGCCUCGCGCUAUUGGAGCGGCCGAUGUCGGAUUAGCUAGUUGGUGGGGUAAAGGCUUACCAAGGCGACGAUCCGUAGCUGGUCUGAGAGGACGACCAGCCACACUGGGACUGAGACACGGCCCAGACUCCUACGGGAGGCAGCAGUGGGGAAUUUUGGACAAUGGGGGCAACCCUGAUCCAGCCAUGCCGCGUGCGGGAAGAAGGCCUUCGGGUUGUAAACCGCUUUUGUUCGGGAAGAAAUCCUCUGGGCUAAUACCCCGGGGGGAUGACGGUACCGGAAGAAUAAGCACCGGCUAACUACGUG